rnacentral:rRNA from 1 species
GAUUUCUGGCUUGAAACAUUUAGCCGGCCACGGUUUCGUGUGUUAGUGCUUGAUGUUCUGGCCAUCCUUCCAAUCGCUAUUCACCUUUCUUCAUUGAUUGGAGAGUGGUAUUGGAUCUUUUGCUUUGAAAAAAUUAGAGUGUUUCAAGCAGGCUUUAUGCUAUGAAUACAUUAGCAUGGAAUAAUAAUUUAGGACUUCGGUUCUAUUUUGUUGGUUUCUAGAACUGAAGUAAUGAUUGAUAGGGAUAGUUGGGGGUGCUAGUAUUCAGCGGCCAGAGGUGAAAUUCUCGGAUUCGCUGAAGACAAACUUAUGCGAAAGCAUU